rnacentral:rRNA from 1 species
UCGUGCCUACGGGGCGCAGCAGUGGGGAAUAUUGCGCAAUGGGCGAAAGCCUGACGCAGCGACGCCGCGUGAGGGAUGAAGGUCUUCGGAUCGUAAACCUCUGUCAGCAGGGAAGAACGGUCACUGUGCUAAUCAGCAGUGAAUUGACGGUACCUGCAAAGGAAGCACCGGCUAACUCCGUGCCAGCAGCCGUGGUAAUACGGAUGGUGCGAGCGUUAAUCUGAAUUACUUGGCGUAAAGCGCUCGUAGGCGGUAUGUC